GCCAGUGUGACGUAGUGGUUUGAGUGUUGCACUGCAACUCUGGAGACUAGGGUUCAAAUCCCUGCUCAGGCA